rnacentral:misc_RNA from 1 species
UAACGGCUAAGACAAUUGCA